CUCCACUGCCACACGCACAGAAACUCCUACACAAACGGCACCCACAUUUGCGCCCACCCUCAGCUCUGCAAACAUGCUACUCCUCGAACACACAGUUCCCCUCACAAAUACGCCCGCGCUCAGUCACAGCUGCCGCGGUGUCGGAGGCGAGGCGAGGAAGGGAGCUGGAAUAACAAAGGGCUGGAGAGAUCACUCCUUCUACCGCCGGGAGAGAGGAGGCAACAUGAAUUCAUUCCCAAGGCUCUGGUAGUCUGACAGCCGAUGAACUCAGCCUGGAAUUCCUGAAGGCUUGGAGCCUGCAGCUCGGGUCCCCGGGACUUGAUGUGUCCGUGUGCCGUGCGGAACCUGUUUGAUUUUCCCAGGGGAAACCCUGCCUUCUCCUGCCACUGGGCACUGGGGAAGGUGCUCCUUUCCUGCCUCCUCAGCCUUCCGACCUGUCACAAGGACUGUUACUGCUGCUGCUUCCCCCACUCACCCACCCACAGGUGGCAGCUGAGUAUCUGGGGUGGGUGGGUUAUUUGCAAUCACUUCCUGACCUUUAGGGACACCCAGAGGCACCAUCCCAGCAAAUUCCUGUGGGAGGGAGUCCCUGCUUCUCAGCCUGUGGGUGGCCCAAGUUCACAGGUGGGUUGAGGGCUGCCUGAGAAAUCCUUGAAGGCCUGCUUUGGAAAGUGGGAAUUCAGCUUGCUGCCUGUUGGCUAAACCUACAGCUCACCCACCACAGCAUCCUACAGCAUUGCAAUGAGCAGAAAGCCACCCCCACGCCCAGGACUAAAAUCCCAUAGUGGAGUUUUCCAAGCAUUUAAGGACUUGGAAUGCAAGAAACCAGCCACAGCCAGCAACUGGGCCAGUUCCUGUUGCCUUGAUGACACCGGGUCAGGACACCUGGCCCUCUCAGCCUUCUGUCCAAAUCCCUCACUGAGUACCCAGAGCUGGCUAUCCCCUAGGAGGUGGGGGGAUGCAGAUAACCUCAGGAUGACCAUUCAUGUUCAAAAGCUCCUGUCCAGAAGCUUCUGGCCAGUAUUUAUACCUGGGAACCAGGAAGUGACUGCAGGAACCAAGCAGGAGCCAAGCAGGAACCAGCCCAGAGCGAGUGGGCUGGCCAUGCAUCACUUGUCCAGAGGCAGCUUCAGGACCCACUAUGGGAGCACAGGCUGCAUGGGCGCAGCCCUCGGGUGCUGAUACAGGGCCUGGCUUGGACCCUCCUUCGCCUCGGACUCAGGUGCUAUUCAUUUCCCCCUCCCUGGGAGCCAUCAUCAGAACAAAGAGGCCGGACCCAGGAGAGCAAGACCCAGGUCUCAGGAGGCCAGAAGCCACAGGUCAGUGAGAGGCUUCAGGCCCUGGGCACACAGAGGACCUAUGCAGGGUGCAGUGAGUGUGGCCAUCUGCAAGGCACUUGGUGGGCUGGGGUAUGGGGACAGGUGCGUGGGGACAGUUCCUCCUCUCUGAGGACUGCCUUCUCUGUCCCCACUCUUACUCUCAACCCGCCCCCCUCAUGGGAGCCAGGAAACAUCUGAAUCGGUCCUGGGGAGGCGGGAGGAAAGUCACGUGUAUGGAAUGCUGACUGUGAGCCAGGCACCGUGGAAACCUUCUCUUUUUCCAUCCGUGCCACAAGCCAGGUGUCACUGCGGCUGCAGGAAGAUGAGCAGAGGCUCCACAACCUGCUGGCAUUCUCAAAGCUGCUGGGUGGGUGACACCAGCAUUGGGAUCUGAGUAUGGCUGUUCCUGGGGGUAGAAAGUGAAGUUUUAUGCCCUCAUCUCAUUGCUAGCUAUGUUAGCAAUGAGGUGGCCUCUGCAGAUACUUUAGGGUAAAGACCUUCACCCAUCUGCCAGGGAAGUUGGGGGCCCUUCUCAUGGCAGUAAUGUGAUGGUGAAUGCAUUUAGCCUUCACCCCCUUGGUGGAGGAAGGAAGCUUCCGGGCCUUCCCUAGCUCUGAGCCUGGGCCUCCUGGAGGUGGGUGGUUGAGUACAGCAGAGAGCAGCUGUGUCCCUGCUUGCUGGGCUCCCUGUUGUGCCUCCGUGUCUGCUCCAGUCAGAUUGCCCCUCCCUUCUCUGCAUCCAGCACUUGGCCUUGACUCUUCAGGACCCUUCUCCUGGGUCAGUGUCUCACUCUCACCGUGGAGCUCUGCUCUUCCUGCUCCUGGCUCCACAUCCAGCUCAGCCCCUGCCCCGCCCUCCAGGGAGACCCGGAGAGGAGACUGAGAGCCUGCUUCAGCAUGGGGAUACCUCAGUGCCCAGCCUGCCACUCCUGACCUACAUAUGAGAAGAAGAAAGAAAUCCAGGCCUUGUUCCCAGCUACAGCUGGUGCCAACCAAAACCCCGCAGGAAGAAAAUGGAGCAGGAGCCUGCUGCCCAGGGGCCUGGCUGCUGACACAGGCCCUUUCUAUUCUGCUGUCCGCUACAGCCCCUCAAUGGACACCCUUCACCUGUCUUCUUGGCCCCAGUGUAAAUAAUCUCCCAUUAACCUCACAAACUUGGGUAAAUCCAGGUCCCACCACUGCCCUACCAUGUUUUCCUUCCUCACCCACCCAUUGCCUGAAAUGAGCUAGGCUCCUUCCCUGCCAGCCUAGUGCCUACCCUACCAGAUGAGGACUGCAGUGCCUGUCUGGGGAAGUUGCACGAGUGCCUUCUCCAUGGAGCCAUAGGGGAGACCCUGCUUUGCUUCCAAGAUGGACCUAGGAUGAUGUUCCACCCUGUGCUGGGUGCCAGCCUUUCACUCACACAUGGAGGCCAUCACAGUGGGGUCUGUGGGCAUGAUGAACAGCUAGUUCUACAGAGGUGAAAGUACAGUACUUUAAAGUCACCCAGAGACAAAAGUGGUUUAAAAGUUGCCCAGUUUAUUCUCUGCCUGUGAUCUUAGAAGAAAAGUGUUCCCCAAAGUCUCCUAUGCCGUCUUUCUUUUGGUUUUGGUUUUUUAGACAGUGUCUCACUUUGUAGUUCAGGUUGGCCUUGAACUCACUACAUAGCCCAGGCUGGACUCGAACUCAUGGUAAUCCUCCUGCCUCCGCCUGCCAAAUGCUGGGAUUACAGGCCUAUGCCACCAUGCCUGGCUCCCAUGCCAUCUUAUUGCAUCCUGCCCUCUGGGAACUCUGUCUACCCAUGGAGCCCAGCUUCCCAAGGCGUGAGCUGGUCUGAUCCAGAUUUCUCCAGACAGCCCUAAGGGAGCCACAUCCUGCCCACUGGCUGGUGUCCACCAGGAACCCUUGAGUCAGGCUGGCCACCACAGACAGCUUUCUAAGCUCUCUCCUCCCUCCUAUGGGCAAAACACUUCAGACAGUAUAAAAAAAAAAAAAAGUACUUCAUGUCACAUGUGAAUGCCACAGCAGCCUCAGGAGGAUGCAGAUUUGCAGAUUGCAUAGCUCACUUUGGGCUUCAAAAGGCCUAGCACUCUGGCUAAGGUCACAUGGGCACUGGACAGAGUUGUCAUUUGAACCCUGGUCUCUUGAUUCCAUGCCACUAAGGAAUGGGGAUGCAGGUGGCAAUGACCUCAGAACAUGGCAUUCUCAGCACUGGGAUGCUACCAGAAGACAAAAAUCUCAGACACUGAUUCAUUGAUUCAAUCAACAAAUAUUUAUUAAACACUAGCUGUGUGCUGGGCCCGAACCUCGGCACUGGGUGUCCAACUCGUGAAGCAGUAGAUCUGGUUCAUGCUGCCCCACACCUGUGUUAGGUGUUGGAGACAGACACUGAAACAGACCUUGUGUGGAAAGACCUCCCCUCCCACCGCUAGCCAGCAUCCUAGCAAAGCCCAGGGCCAAAGGGCAGGGAGAUAGGGCUCUGGUCCCAGUGUUGCCCCUAACUGGCCAUGUGACAUCGAACAAGGUUUCCCACCUCUGAAAUCUGUAUGCCAGUGCCUCCCCAUAUGUUUUCUGGGGUUCCUGCCCAACUCCCACCUUCUGGGUCAAGUGGUUAAUGAUUUCCUGACAUGAAUAAUUACUCUGAUUUGGUGUUUUCUGAAACCCAACUUUUCGUAGGCACUUGGAGCCAGAAAGGGGCUUCUGAGUCCCCUGACCUGAGCCUCUCACUAAGUAGGAACCCCUUAGCCUCAGUGCUCCUUGGAAGUGACGGGUAUUGCUUGUCCACUUCCGGAGAUGGGGCACUCACUGCCCCCACACACUGCAGAGCUCUCUGCACAGUGGUGUGCUGGUAAAUGUUUAACAUCUGGCUCUCCAAAGGGGGGAAAACCUGGUUUGUAGUAUUUGCUCAUUUCCAUCGUGUAAACACUCCCACCACAGCCCCAUUUCAAGCGGCCAGUCUAACAUCAACCUCACACUUUCUGAAAAAUUGAGUCAGCUCUUAGGAGCUGGUCCAAGCAGGCUACAACCCACCAAUGCCCCGGCCUACAGAGAAGUCUCAUCCAGCUUUACUUGCUGGAAAGUUCCUGCUGAUAUCAAGCGUGACACCUGAUUGGUCAGGCACUCGGGUCUGAAGGGAGAUUGACCUCUGAAGGCCUUUGGAGAUCUCCUUGUGACGGGGAGGGGGUUGGGGGUGGUGGUCCUGGGGCCAGUGGACACUGGGGAGACCCACCCUCCUGCUCGGCCUUUCUACCGCCUUUCCUCUUUUCUUCUGCUUCUCUCCUAAGUACUUGUUGGCUUCUGCGACACUAUAGAUACUAUGGCAACAGGGACCAAAUCUCGGCUCCCAGCCCCCUGCCUCCCUGCCUGUACCUUCCAGGCUGGAAUCAGAAGCCACCCCUCCCCAAGCCUGACCUGACCUGUACCCCUUCCCUUCCUGCAGCUACAGGCCCUGCCUCCGGAGCUUAUCACUGGCUUUGUCACUUAUCACGUUCUACCUUGGAUUACAGCUAUUUGUGUACACGCCUUAUCUCCCUGCCAGACAGAGAGGCAGCACUGGCUUGUUGAAAGAGCUUGGACUUUGGAGCCGAAUGACCUGGCCCCAGCAUCCCAGCCCUGCAGGGAGCUCAUACCAACUUUGCAAGCCUCAGUUUCCUUAUCUGUGAAGUGGGACUGCUGAUAACUCCUUUCAAGAUGAUUUUGGCCAUUAAAUUUGACUAGAAAUGUAAAUUCCUUUUCCUGUUCCCAUGUGGACUGCCCUCCUUUUGGGGACAGAUUGCCUCUUUGUAGUCUUCUGUAAUGUUAAUAGUGACAAAAGUAUAUGGCUGUGCUGUGCAGGGAGUGUUGUUCUCAGAACUUACAUAGGCUAACCCAUUUCAGCCUUGCAAAAAUUGGAGCUAUAGUGUUAUGUCCAUUGAUAAAUGACAGUGUGGAAGAGCUGAGGUUUGAAUCCAGGAAAACUGGCCCCACAGCCUUGGCUGUUGGGCUCCAUGCCAUGUUGCCGUGCUAUAAGGGUUCUUGGUGGCUUGUGGAGUGGUAGAGUGCAUGACAUCUUGGCAGUCCUGUUCCUUGCCCUGACCCAAGGGGUAGGGGCAGGGAGAUGCAGGAGAC
ensembl:lncRNA